rnacentral:rRNA from 1 species
CGUCCAGAGAACUUAGCAGAGAUGCUUUGGUGCCUUCGGGAACUCUGAGACAGGUGCUGCAUGGCUGUCGUCAGCUCGUGUUGUGAAAUGUUGGGUUAAGUCCCGCAACGAGCGCAACCCUUAUCCUUUGUUGCCAGCGGUCCGGCCGGGAACUCAAAGGAGACUGCCAGUGAUAAACUGGAGGAAGGUGGGGAUGACGUCAAGUCAUCAUGGCCCUUACGAGUAGGGCUACACACGUGCUACAAUGGCGCAUACAAAGAGAAGCGACCUCGCGAGAGCAAGCGGACCUCAUAAAGUGCGUCGUAGUCCGGAUUGGAGUCUGCAACUCGACUCCAUGAAGUCGGAAUCGCUAGUAAUCGUAGAUCAGAAUGCUACGGUGAAUACGUUCCCGGGCCUUGUACACACCGCCCGUCACACCAUGGGAGUGGGUUGCAAAAGAAGUAGGUAGCUUAACCUUCGGGAGGGCGCUUACCACUUUGUGAUUCAUGACUGGGGUGAAGUCGUAACAAGGUAAGCGUAGCGAG